rnacentral:rRNA from 1 species
GCGGGGAAAGGUAGCUUGCUACUGGACCUAGCGGCGGACGGGUGAGUAAUGCUUAGGAAUCUGCCUAUUAGUGGGGGACAACAUUCCGAAAGGAAUGCUAAUACCGCAUACGUCCUACGGGAGAAAGCAGGGGACCUUCGGGCCUUGCGCUAAUAGAUGAGCCUAAGUCGGAUUAGCUAGUUGGUGGGGUAAAGGCCUACCAAGGCGACGAUCUGUAGCGGGUCUGAGAGGAUGAUCCGCCACACUGGGACUGAGACACGGCCCAGACUCCUACGGGAGGCAGCAGUGGGGAAUAUUGGACAAUGGGGGGAACCCUGAUCCAGCCAUGCCGCGUGUGUGAAGAAGGCCUUAUGGUUGUAAAGCACUUUAAGCGAGGAGGAGGCUACUAGUAUUAAUACUACUGGAUAGUGGACGUUACUCGCAGAAUAAGCACCGGCUAACUCUGUGCCAGCAGCCGCGGUAAUACAGAGGGUGCGAGCGUUAAUCGGAUUUACUGGGCGUAAAGCGUGCGUAGGCGGCCAUUUAAGUCAAAUGUGAAAUCCCCGAGCUUAACUUGGGAAUUGCAUUCGAUACUGGAUGGCUAGAGUAUGGGAGAGGAUGGUAGAAUUCCAGGUGUAGCGGUGAAAUGCGUAGAGAUCUGGAGGAAUACCGAUGGCGAAGGCAGCCAUCUGGCCUAAUACUGACGCUGAGGUACGAAAGCAUGGGGAGCAAACAGGAUUAGAUACCCUGGUAGUCCAUGCCGUAAACGAUGUCUACUAGCCGUUGGGGCCUUUGAGGCUUUAGUGGCGCAGCUAACGCGAUAAGUAGACCGCCUGGGGAGUACGGUCGCAAGACUAAAACUCAAAUGAAUUGACGGGGGCCCGCACAAGCGGUGGAGCAUGUGGUUUAAUUCGAUGCAACGCGAAGA